AAUUCUCUUCAAGAAACACAGGGUACAAGGUGGGCAAGUUUUGGACUGCUUAGGAGACUGGUGAGAGAGUCCCUUGGGAAGAAAUGCUGAAGAGCAAAGUAGCCUGGGAAGGCUGGACAAUUGUCAAGAAGGAAAUAUUAAAGGGGCAAGAGUAGGCCAUCACCUUGUGCCAAAAGAUGAGCCAAUGGAGAAGACCAACCUGGCUGGAACUUGGGGGAAAAAAAGAGAUCAGCUAUCCAAGGGUGAAAAGAGGAGAAACAAAGAUAAUGGAUGAGAGAGAAAACUAAGUAGACAGAUGAAGAAAUUACCUGACCUUCCAUACACAGCUUUC